ensembl:lncRNA
CAGGCAGCAUGGAGUUAAGAGGAAAAAAUAACUUAAAAUCUGAAAUUCUGGGCAGAAAUUAUCUUCCAUGUAUUAGCUGUAUGGUUACAGACAAUCUUCUAAGGUACAGUUAUUCCCCUAUCCUUGAAAAUGUUCUCCACAUUGGAAAUGACUCAUGAUUCUUCGGAAAUCUACACAAACACUGAUUUAUUCAAGUGUCUUCGAUCGAAGGUUUUGCUUCCUGGUCAGACACGGUGACGGUGGCUUACCCGGGGGUCUCUGCACACCAGCAGCCUCAGGCACCGGGAACUACUGCUGGAGACUGGCUACAGACAUUUGGGCUGGGUCUUCAAGUAUAUAGCUCCGAUAGCUCUAUCAUGGACCUGCAGAUUUUACAGACCAUCUGCUGUUCCUCUGAUCACAUCUGCC